rnacentral:rRNA from 1 species
UACGAAGGGGACUAGCGUUGUUCGGAAUCACUGGGCGUAAGCGCACGUAGGCGGAUUCGUAAGUCAGGGGUGAAAUCCCGGGGCUCAACCUCGGAACUGCCUUUGAUACUGCGGGUCUUGAGUCCGAUAGAGGUGGGUGGAAUUCCUAGUGUAGAGGUGAAAUUCGUAGAUAUUAGGAAGAACACCGGUGGCGAAGGCGGCCCACUGGAUCGGUACUGACGCUGAGGUGCGAAAGCGUGGGGAGCAAACAGG